GUGCUUGCUUCAGCAGCACAUGUACUAAAAUUGCAAUGAUACAGAGGAGUAGCAUGGUCCCUACACAAGGGACCAUGGUUUUUUCAUAUUUAA
rnacentral:snRNA from 1 species